rnacentral:misc_RNA from 1 species
GAUGAAGAACGUAGCGAAAUGCGAUAAGUAAUGUGAAUUGCAGAUACAGUGAAUCAUCGAAUCUUUGAACGCAAAUGGCACUCUAUGGUAUUCCGUAGAGUACGUCUGUUUGAGCGUCGCGAACAUCUCCACAAUUAGUUUUUUUUUAAAAUUAGUUGAGGGUUUUGAGGUUGUCAUAUAAACAAUGACUCCCUUUAAAAUAAUUAGUGAUGACCUUAUGAAUGGGUUAAUACUGUGUGUUAUAAUGGAUUACAUCCAUCACCAGUCAGAGAGUAAUCUCGCCUUAGUAAUUUGUAGUGAUUGCUUCUAACUGCCAUUGGCAAUAACCUGAUCAAAUCGACCUCAAAUCAGAUGGGAUUACCCGCUGAACUUAAGCAUAUCAAUAAGCGGAGGA